CGCAGUAGAGAACUGAGGCUCAGUUGCCCCGAAGAUGUUCUUAGAAAUCUUUUCCUUGGGGCUGGGAAGGCUGGGAGAUUUAUACAAUGACUUCAUGCCUUUGAAGGUUGUCCCGGAUGUUAAUUCCUUUAUAUAUCCUGUUUGAUCCUCUUUGUGGUCAGAAAAUUUACAGAACCAUCAGGCAGAGAAGACAAGAACCAGGUGGAUUCUUAACCACUGGACCACCAGGGAAGUCCUACGACUACCUGAACAUCCUAAUCAUUCCUCUAUAUGAUGUUCUAUCAACCCGCCUCAGAUAUCUAGAUUUCCACUUCAGUUUUAUUUUGGAUCGUAAAAAGAGAAUGAGAAAAAAACAAAGAAAUCGGGCUUCCCUGGUGGCUCAGUGAUGAGGAGUCUGCCUGCCAAUUCAGGAGACAGUUUCGAUCCCUGGUCCGGGAAGAUCCCACAUGCCACGCAGCAGCUAAGCCCGUGGGCCACAACUACUGAGCCUGCGCCCUGGAGCCGGGGAACCGCAACUGCUGAAGCCCUUGCACUCUAACACCUGUGCGCCGCAAAAAUAGAAGCCACUGCCAUACGCAAUCUGUGAGCCGCAACUAGGGAAAAGCCUGCACAACAACGAAGCCUGGCACUGCCAAAAAUAAAUGAACAAAAUAAUUUUUUAAGCA
rnacentral:lncRNA from 1 species